rnacentral:misc_RNA from 1 species
GAUGAAGAACGCAGCGAAAUGCGAUAAGUAAUGUGAAUUGCAGAAUUCAGUGAAUCAUCGAGUCUUUGAACGCACAUUGCGCCCCCUGGUAUUCCGGGGGGCAUGCCUGUCCGAGCGUCAUUGCCGCCCUCAAGCACGGCUUGUGUGUUGGGCCCCCGCCCCCCGGCUUCGGGGGGCGGGCCCGAAAGGCAGCGGCGGCACCGCGUCCGGUCCUCGAGCGUAUGGGGCUUCGUCACCCGCUCUGUAGGCCCGGCCGGCGCCCGCCGGCGACCCCAAUCAAUCUUUCCAGGUUGACCUCGGAUCAGGUAGGGAUACCCGCUGAACUUAAGCAUAUCAAUAAGGCGGGGGA